CGCGGGCGGCCCUCCAUGGCAAGGGUGCAUGAUUCUUGGUGGCUUUUGGCGGUUGGGGGUUACAAAUGAAAGGGUAACAACAUGGGUUUGGCAAUAAUAUGGUUUUGGUAGUUGAGAAAAGUAUUUAAGUUGUGAUUUAAGAUGAAUUAUUAGGCCAUGUUGGAUUACGAUAACUUUAAUAUGAGGCCAAUGUAUGGAAAGGAGUAACAGAAGAUGGUAUUGGUUACGACAAUAGAUAAGGCCAUAUGAGUUGAGAUGAGUUGAGUUAUGACCGCUUGGAUCGUGCUGACUUUAAUUUAGUAAUGGACAAGUUUGGGAAAGGCACUGUGUUGUUCAGAUUGCACGCGAGACGAGGUCGCGGUAAGUCAAGUUUAUUUACUUUCUAGUCUAGCGGUAAGUUUAUUUGUAUUCUUGCUUGGAUAGUAUUGUUGUUGUUGCUUAAACUUUGUUAUUGCUUUGUUACUGGUUUGUUUGAUUGCUGUAUAUUCAUAUGUCUUACAAGUUCAUUCAAAGUACUUACCUGGCCUUGUAUGUCGCCAGAUUUUGAAGAAGAUGAAUAAGCUAAAUGGUCGCCUCAGCCAGUACUAUGAGCUGUGAAGCCCAGCCAAGCCGCCAGUGUAGUCUUCCGCUACCAGAUAGCUCUAUCGUAGAGAUUUACACCACAUACUCUUGUAAUCGUGUUGUAAACUCCGUUAUAUUAAUAAAG
rnacentral:lncRNA from 1 species